AGAGUUUGAUCCUGGCUCAGGAUAAACGCUGGCGGCGUGCCUAACACAUGCAAGUCGAACGCCCUUUUUCGCAAGGAGGAGGGAGUGGCGGACGGGUGAGUAACACGUGGGUGACCUAGCUUCUGGUGAGGAAUACCGGCGAGAAAUCGUCGACAAGACCGCAUGAGCUCGUCUGGCAGACAGGCGAGGAAAGCUUCUUU
rnacentral:rRNA from 1 species